CAACCUACGGGGGGCAGCAGUGAGGAAUAUUGGUCAAUGGGCGGGAGCCUGAACCAGCCAAGUCGCGUGAAGGAAGAAGGUACUUAGUAUUGUAAACUUCUUUUGUCGGGGAACAAAGGCGGAGACGCGUCUCCGGAUGAGUGUACCCGAAGAAAAAGCAUCGGCUAACUCCGUGCUAGCAGCCGCGGUAAUACGGAGGAUGCGAGCGUUAUCCGGAUUUAUUGGGUUUAAAGGGUGCGCAGGCGGGAGAUCAAGUCAGCGGUAAAAUGGCGGGGAACAAGCCCGGCCGGGCGUUGAAACUGGGU
rnacentral:rRNA from 1 species